rnacentral:misc_RNA from 1 species
UUAAGUUCAGCGGGUAGUCCUGCCUGAUUUGAGGCCAAAUAGAUAGAUAGAUAGCUCGUGGCCAGCGGAGCCUAGUCCAAGAAUGCUUAGCACUCGGACCAGUCCCGCAGACCAGCAUCUGGCUACACUUAGGUCCAGUCGAGCCGUCCAGUUGCCCAGCCGUCGUCGACACGCACCAAAUCGCAUUGCUGCAGUAAGAG